UGACAACUUGUUAAAGUCAGCAGGUCUGCAUUAUGUGUAAUGGGUUUUUUAUGGCUUUGGGAUUUGUGUAGAGUAGAUCAGGAAAUGAAGACGAUCAUAUGGAGAAAAAAAAGCUUGACAAAACAGAGCAUCUCAUCGCGUCUGAUCUCGGAGCCUGUAGAUGAGAAGCGGUUCAAUAAAUAGCACAAGCAGACAGCAGGUUAAAUUACUUUCCCUCACUGAGCCUGGAGCCUUGCAGUUGUACCAGAAGGGCUGAAUGUUCACAGAAAUAUCGGGGCUAUUAAACCAGCAGCAACGGAGUUCCAGUUCCAGCAUGGAUGUAAUCAGAUUAGAAUAACAUAAGAAUUCAAAUUUAAAAAACAAACAAACAAAAAAAAAACGUGUCCUCUUUUUAUCUGCAUGUAUAAGUGUGUAUUUCAGUUCAUCGUGAUCUGGACCAGGACAGACAAUUAUACUGGAUAGACCAAUGGACCUAUGAACAGUUAUAAUGCUAUAUACCUAACACUUUCAGACACAAAUAUGGAGAAUAGAUUUAAGGCUGUAUUUCUUUUUCCAGAAAAUAAGAUGUAAAUCAUUUCUAAAUCACUAGUGAUCCAUGCUGUAAUUUAUCAUUAAUAAUUAUCCUGAUUUCUGUAGCUCUCCAGAUUAUUUGUCAUUCUCGAUACAGCAUGGCUCUGCUAUACACACACUUUCUACACAAAGUAAAAAAAAAUCUAUUUUUUUACAG